GACGAACGCUGGCGGCGUGCCUAAUACAUGCAAGUCGAACGAACAGCGAUGGAGCUUGCUCCAUCAAUGUGAGUGGCGGACGGGUGAGUAACACGUGGGAAACCUACCCUCUAGCGGGGGAUAACAUUCGGAAACGGAUGCUAAUACCGCAUAGGGCAUUGAAUCGCAUGAUUCGAUGAGGAAAGAUGGCUCUGCUAUCACUAGAGGAUGGUCCCGCGGUGCAUUAGCUAGUUGGUAAGGUAACGGCUUACCAAGGCCAUGAUGCAUAGCCGACCUGAGAGGGUAAUCGGCCACAUUGGGACUGAGACACGGCCCAAACUCCUACGGGAGGCAGCAGUAGGGAAUCUUCCGCAAUGGACGCAAGUCUGACGGAGCAACGCCGCGUGUGUGAAGAAGGUCUUCGGAUCGUAAAGCACUGUUGUUAGAGAAGAACACCCUGUAGGUAACUACUACAGGC
rnacentral:rRNA from 1 species